rnacentral:rRNA from 1 species
AACGAACGCUGGCGGCAGGCUUAACACAUGCAAGUCGAGCGCCCCGCAAGGGGAGCGGCAGACGGGUGAGUAACGCGUGGGAACGUACCUUUUGGUUCGGAACAACUCCGGGAAACUGGAGCUAAUACCGGAUAAGCCCUAACGGGGAAAGAUUUAUCGCCGAAAGAUCGGCCCGCGUCUGAUUAGCUAGUUGGUGAGGUAACGGCUCACCAAGGCGACGAUCAGUAGCUGGUCUGAGAGGAUGAUCAGCCACACUGGGACUGAGACACGGCCCAGACUCCUACGGGAGGCAGCAGUGGGGAAUAUUGGACAAUGGGCGCAAGCCUGAUCCAGCCAUGCCGCGUGAGUGAUGAAGGCCUUAGGGUUGUAAAGCUCUUUUGUCCGGGAAGAUAAUGACCGUACCGGAAGAAUAAGCCCCGGCUAACUUCGUG